CUGACGGCUCAGAUGAACCAAGUUCCUCAGGAUCUGGAAAGAAAAGUUCAGAAGAUAGAAGUUGUUCAGAACCUGAGAACAUUAGUUCAGAAGUUCUGAAAACUUCAAAAUCUGAGACUUCAAAUUCUGGAACCAAAGGAACUUCAGUACCUGAGGCUAGUCAAUCUAAAGACUCAGAAGUUUUUAAAAGAAAAAAUUCAAAAUCCAAACCUCAGAUGCAAUAUAGGACUAAGAUUAUUUAUGAUUCUAGAGUCAGUAGAUAUAAUCAAUCAGAACAAAGGAUUGAUGAUAAAUACAAACCCUGGAAUCAUAAACAAUCCAAAUCCUGGAAU
rnacentral:lncRNA from 1 species